rnacentral:lncRNA from 1 species
GAACGCAGGCCCUUUGAGAACUCCAUUUACAUUCUGUUACCGCUUUAGCACGUACCAGGAGUGGCUGACCGCGUUUAAGGAACCUUAGUUUCUAGGUUUGUUUUUUUUUAUCCUCAUCAUUCAAAAAUACUCUCUUUACCUUCAGUGCCCCUUUAUUUUUCCCCCUUUUCCAAUUUUAACCCAGUUUUUGUGUUUUAAGGAAAUCUCCAUAAUGAAAAUAAUGACUGAAUAGCCUGCUUGCUCAUGUAUGCCACCAGGUUACUC